rnacentral:rRNA from 1 species
AUUGAACGCUGGCGGCAGGCCUAACACAUGCAAGUCGAACGGUAACAGGAAGCAGCUUGCUGCUUUGCUGACGAGUGGCGGACGGGUGAGUAAUGUCUGGGAAACUGCCUGAUGGAGGGGGAUAACUACUGGAAACGGUAGCUAAUACCGCAUAACGUCGCAAGACCAAAGAGGGGGACCUUAGGGCCUCUUGCCAUCGGAUGUGCCCAGAUGGGAUUAGCUAGUAGGUGGGGUAACGGCUCACCUAGGCGACGAUCCCUAGCUGGUCUGAGAGGAUGACCAGCAACACUGGAACUGAGACACGGUCCAGACUCCUACGGGAGGCAGCAGUGGGGAAUAUUGCACAAUGGGCGCAAGCCUGAUGCAGCCAUGCCGCGUGUAUGAAGAAGGCCUUCGGGUUGUAAAGUACUUUCAGCGGGGAGGAAGGGAGUAAAGUUAAUACCUUUGCUCAUUGACGUUACCCGCAGAAGAAGCACCGGCUAACUCCGU